GACUCAGAAACGGACUCGAUUGUGCACGAACCCAACGCCGCUCAACGGCGGCCGCACCUGUCCAGGUUUCAACUUCCAGAAAGGCGAUUGUACCUCCAUCUGUCCAGUAGUGGACGGUCGAUGGAACGCCUGGUCCAGUUGGUCCCAACUGCGGGCUGAUCUUGCAAACACCAUCGUCGCCGUUCGUGCACCAGCAGCCCUUCAUCUUCCUACGGAGGACAAUAUUGGGUCGGCCGUGACUUGCAGCGGGAGGAGUUCGUGCCGACCAUCUCGACAGCUUAGACGAGGUGUUUUUUCUUUCUCUAGAUUCAUCAA
rnacentral:lncRNA from 1 species